GUUUUGUUACUGAACAAGUAUUUGUUAAGCAAUUAUGGGUUUAAAUACCCAAUUUUUCUUACUAUGUGUCAUAUGACUGCUUGUUCUUUACUGAGUUAUAUAGCUAUUGCUUGGAUGAAAAUGGUACCAAUGCAGACUAUAAGAUCUAGGGUUCAGUUUAUGAAGAUCUCUGCUUUGAGUCUUAUUUUUUGUACAUCUGUUGUUAGUGGCAAUAUCUCACUUAGGUAUUUGCCAGUAUCUUUUAAUCAGGCUAUAGGUGCUACUACACCUUUCUUUACUGCUGUAUUUGCUUACUUGAUGACAUUCAAGAGGGAGGCAUGGUUGACUUAUGUCACUCUAAUUCCUGUUGUCACCGGGGUUAUCAUCGCCAGUGGGGGUGAACCAAGUUUU
rnacentral:misc_RNA from 1 species